rnacentral:lncRNA from 1 species
GUCUCUGUAAUUUCUUUAAUUAUUCAAACAAUAGAGCACAAAGAUAACAGUUUCAAGUACAUUCUGAUACACGUUUUGACAGGAAUAGAUAUGCAUUUAGUCAUGAGGGAGGCUGGCAGCAACCACCAAGCGUACAUUUUGCACAAACUCUUGGCUCCGUCAACCCUGAAUGCGAAGUGGGCCCCUCGUCCUGGCGGGGCUGGGCUGCACCCUCUUGAUGCCCUGUACCUAGUUUCUCUAAGCAGUGGUUUCCUUUCCUUGCCUGUGAAAAAGAGAAUUUUAAAUAUAAAGCAGUGGGCGGAUCUUAAGAAGACAGACCAGGAGGGCUGGGGACAGCACCCAGCAGCAUGGACACUGCCACCGGGCCUGUCCAGGAGGCAGUGCCACCCAGGAGUCAGGAUUUCCCAUCUGGGUGAGGGUCUGCUCCAAGGUGCUCCAGUCACCAGCAGAGCUGCACCGUGGCCUCAGGCACCUUGGGGCUUGGUCAAUGACUGGCUUCUCUCUGACCAUCUGGGCCGCACGGCCACAUCGCCAGGUCUGUCAACACAGCCAGAGGAGCUGCUGUGCCCAGUGCUUCUGGGUUAACUUUUGACUGACUUGAAAUUAUACCGAACUGUCAAAAGAACAGAAACCAUCACACUUCCUCCGAGAUUGUAAACAUCAGCCUGGAACCUGCUGACCAUCUAGAACACCAAAGAAAAGUCUUUUACAGAAAAUGGCUGAGGACUGCUCCUGCACAGAGGGCCCGGCCCUGUGGAGGCUCCAGAGGCCCUGUGCCAUCCACCUGGGCACACAGCCUCCCCGGAAGGCCACUCAAGGGCAGACCCUCAGCAGAGCAAACCUUCAGGGACUGGUCCCAGCCUCAGGAGCGAGCCCCUGCCAGGUGGGGCUGAAGUCUGUUCACUCCCACUCCCUAAGCCUGGACCACCUUCCACACAGGCUCCAGCUGCUAGGAGGCCCCGAGCUCACGCAGCGCCACCCUUCCAAGGCUCAGCCUGCUCAGAUAAUUUAGCCCAAAGCACAAAGCAUGGCAGACAUCUUCUGUAAGCCAAAAAACUGGUAGUAGUCCUCCACCUGGGACCCUGACAACCGCCAAGGGCAGAGACCCUCUUGGCCUCCAAGGCAGCAUGAAGCAUGGAAGGACCUUCCCCAGCCCAGCACCCACAGCAGCAUGCUCACUCAACAGGGAUCAAAGUCCACGCCUGACCGCCAUGUCACACAGACAACCAGCGUAGCCUGAGGACCUCAACAGCAGCCCCGACAUUCCAGCGACUGGCCCAUGCCACUGUGGGCUUGCCACUCGGAUUUAAGGGGACCCUCAAGAAAAGAGGAUAGAGCUUCAGAGAAGAUCAAACCUGGUCCUCUCUUCUAAGGAUGCUUUCUGGAAGGGGCACAACAGGACCUCAGAAAGCAGCAAUGGGCCUCCUCCCUACGGAUCACAGACAGCACGAACAGGGUCAGGCCAGGGGUCUGCCCAGCAACCACACACAGGAGUCCUAGCAGAAGGUUCUCGGUGGCCGUCUCCAGGCCACCCCCUCUGGGCUUACACAUUAGGCUUUGCUAGUUAAGGGGUGGGGUUAGGGGGACAGCACAGUCCCCACGGGUGGCACCCCCAACCUUUGGGAGCAUAGGAAGAGCGUCACACAAUAAAUACAAACAGAGCUGAGGUUUCUCCAGCCAUGAGAAGAAAGAAGUUGGUUUGUGUGCCUACUUUGGUUACCUAAGUCAGUCAGUCUGAGUUCACAGUAUAAGCAACACAUCUAAAUAGAAUAUUGGGAGCGCCUGUGAGCACUGGGUUUCCCAAGCAAAGAAGCCAAAAAAAAAAAAAAAAAAAAAGAAAAAG